AGCAGCCGCGGUAAUUCCAGCUCCAAUAGCGUAUAUUAAAGUUGUUGCAGUUAAAAGCUCGUAGUUGAAUUUCGGGAUCAAUAUGUCGGUCGUGCCUUCGGUACGUACUGGUAUCAUUGGUCUCUCCUUUCUGACGGACCAUGAUGUCAUUAAUUUGGUGUUAUGGGGAGUUAGGACUGUUACUUUGAAAAAUUAGAGUGUUUAAAGCAGGCUUUAGCUUGAAUACAUUAGCAUGGAAUAAUGAAAUAGGACGUUCGAACCUAUUUUGUUGGUUUCUAGGAUCAACGUAAUGAUUAAUAGGGAUAGUUGGGGGCAUUAGUAUUCAAUUGUCAGAGGUGAAAUUCUUGGAUUUAUUGAAGACUAACUACUGCGAAAGCAUUUGCCAAGGAUGUUUUCAUUAAUCAAGAACGAAAGUUAGGGGAUCGAAGACGAUCAGAUACCGUCGUAGUCUUAACCAUAAACUAUGCCGACUAGGGAUCGGAUGAUGUUAAUUUUUAAUGACUCAUUCGGCGCCUUACGG
rnacentral:rRNA from 1 species